GGGCCUAUAGUUCAGUGGCAGAACAGAGCAUUCGCAUUGCUCAAACGGCGGUCCGAUCCCGCCUAGGUCCACCA
rnacentral:tRNA from 1 species